rnacentral:lncRNA from 1 species
CCUCUCACCCCACACAAUCAUACAGAUGCUAAAAUAUUUUUAUUUGUUUAUCGAUUAAAUUUAUGAUCAUGCAGUGUCACACAAAUAGCAAUACAACAACAACCACAAUUAGUAUCACCUUCAUAUAAUCACAUCACGUGGAAAUUAGUCAGUGGCACCACCUGAAACCCCAACGAGCCGUCCUCACACAUGGCUCGCCCUCUCAUACAUGUGCACCAGGGAGCCGACCCCCAUACGGCCAACUGGUCUACUCCUCCCUGACCAGUCCUCUCAUUGUUUUUCCAUUCUCUCUCUNN